rnacentral:lncRNA from 1 species
AGUAUCGCGAGAUCAGGAAGGUGGCCGAGUGUGUCGCCGCGGCCAUCAGGCACUUCUCCUUCCUGCCCUUGUAUGAAGAAGGAUGUGUUUGCUUCCCCUUGUGCCAUGAUUGUAAAUUUCCUGAGGCCUCCUCAGCCCUGCAGAACUGGCUAGAGCAAUGUAUCUUAGGCUCACUUAAGGAAGCUGUAGAGAUGAGCCCAAGGAGGGAAACCAGAAGAGCCCCCCAGGCUCACCAGUUGUUUGUUGGCUCCCUACAAACAUGUCAUUCAAGUGGCUAAUCUUACAACAGCACAAAUUCAUCUAACCAGAAAGAGAAGAGGAGGCUCCAAAGGCACUUGACUACUGAGCAUCACCCUGGACGUGUACAAGUCUGCGUCCUUAUUGUUUUCUUCAUUGGGCCGAACUUUCUGGUCCUCAUCCAACAGCUCUUCUAUCACGUGUUCGAAAGUGUCAGCCAAUGAUGUCAAGCCUCUUGAACCUGCCUUGGGCCCAUUCACGCUCUCCAGAGUCCCAUGGGUCCGCACACCUGGAGAUACUCUAUUAUAGCAAAGAAGAAAGAUAAUUUCAUUGAGCCAUCCUGUUUUACAGCACCCAACAGAAUCCCUUCAAAGCCUCGUGGUCUGACACCCUAUGCUACGUGACUUGUGACCCAUCCAUUUGUCAUGUUCUUCGGGAAUGUGGCUAAGGGGCUAAGAUGUGACUUGAAAAGAAAGGUAGAACAAGAUCAUCUCAAAUUUAUUAUCAAGGAAUAGUUCAGAAAACGACUUCAGACCACAGAGACAGCAGAACAGAUGGUCCGGCAUGGAUAGAGCAUCAGACACUCACAGACUGUGCCAACAAGAGCCAUCGAGUCAAAACAGCCAAAGGAAGGAGGGUCAUGGAAUGGGUUCUCUCACACCAAACUGAUGCCCAGAGGCCCUCAGCAUGAAUAACAAAGGCAACCAGACCCACAAGCCAUACUGAGUGGAUACAAAACCUAUACCUAGGCUGACAUCCCAAAUGUGUGUGGCAAGUUAGAUGAUGAUGGCACAAAAGACAGAACACCUUGCUUCUGGCCAUUGUCAGCUCUUGGAAGAGAGCACACUUUUAGAGGAGCAGCUGCAAGGAGCCUGAGAACAAAACUGGAAAUGUCUGUUAUGAAAGCCUUCACAGGAAAUUCUGCAAGUGGCAACGUGGGUCCAUUCCGUGUGUGUCACUAGAGCUGGCGCAAGCCCAUGGCCAUGGUGAGGCAGCGUUUCCACUGGAACUAAUCUGAUACCUGCACCAGCUCUUGCAACUGUGCAGUGUUCCCACUGCAAACUACGGAUGGGGUAAAAGACUGCUCACCUCCUAUUUCUCAUCUAAUCUCACACACUCUGUUUGAUGAGGCUAUGGAGAAACAGGUCUUCUCAUACACUAAAGGUGGGAGUACAAACAAUUCAAGCCCUGUGCAGGACAAUUAGGCAAUACCUAUCAAAAUUAUACAUGAUUUUUCCUGCUGACCCAGCAAUUCCACUUCUGGGAAUAAUUGACAGAUAUAGGUGCAUAUGUACAAAAUGAUGGAAAGCUCUCUGGUAUAUAUUAGUAAGUGAUAAAACAAGGUGUAAAAUAGUG